rnacentral:rRNA from 1 species
GUCUAGAGGCUUCGGCAAUGGGGGAAACCCUGACCGAGCGACGCCGCGUGCGGGAUUGAAGGCCUUCGGGUCGUAAACCGCUGUCAGGUGGGAAGAAUGCCCGUAUGGCGAAUACGGGAGAGACGGUACCACCAGAGGAAGCCCCGGCUAACUCCGUGCCAGCAGCCGCGGUAAUACGGAGGGGGCAAGCGUUAUUCGGAUUUACUGGGCGUAAAGGGUGCGUAGGCGGCCGCGCAAGUCUGACGUGAAAUCUUCACCGCUCAACGGGAAGAGGUCGUUGGAAACUGCGUGGCUCGGGUGUGGUAGAGGCAAGUGGAAUUCCAGGUGUAGCGGUGGAAUGUGUAGAUAUCUGGAAGAACACCCGUGGCGAAGGCGACUUGCUGGGCCAUCACUGACGCUGAGGCACGAAAGCGUGGGGAGCAAACGGGAUUAGAAACCCCGGUAGUCC